rnacentral:tRNA from 1 species
UCCCUAGUAGCUUAGAUGGUAAAGCAUCUGCCUGCAAUGCAGGAGACCCGGGUCCGAUGCCUGGGUCAGGAA